rnacentral:rRNA from 1 species
UACGUAGGGGGCAAGCGUUGUCCGGAUUUAUUGGGCGUAAAGAGCGUGUAGGCGGCCAGAUAGGUCCGUUGUGAAAACUGGAGGCUUAACCUCCAGCGGUCGAUGGAAACCAUUUGGCUAGAGUCCGGAAGAGGAGAGUGGAAUUCCUGGUGUAGCGGUGAAAGUGCGCAGAUAUCAGGAAGAACACCCGUGGCGAAGGCGGCUCUCUGGGACGGUACUGACGCUGAGGUGCGAAAGCGUGGGGAGCAAACAGG